GAUGAAGAACGCAGCGAAAUGCGAUAAGUAGUGUGAAUUGCAGAAUUCAGUGAAUCAUCGAAUCUUUGAACGCACAUUGCGCCCCCUGGUAUUCCGGCGGGCAUGCCUGUUCGAGCGUCAUUUCAACCCUCAAGCCCCCGGGUUUGGUGUUGGGGAUCGGCUCUGCCCUUCUGGGCGGUGCCGCCCCCGAAAUACAUUGGCGGUCUCGCUGCAGCCUCCAUUGCGUAGUAGCUAACACCUCGCAACUGGAACGCGGCGCGGCCAUGCCGUAAAACCCCAACUUCUGAAUGUUGACCUCGGAUCAGGUAGGAAUACCCGCUGAACUUAAGCAUAUCAAUAAGCGGAGGA
rnacentral:misc_RNA from 1 species